AAAUAGAUGGCUGUCCCAAAGACCUUCACUUCCACACCAUCCCUGGAGUCUUCCUCAAGAUAAAGGCCCUCAUUCUCCUGUCUUCUGCCAGCACCCACGAAACUGCGGCAAGCUAACUUGGAACA